ensembl:lncRNA
GCAGAAGUUGUAGCACAAACGAGAAUGCAUGUGUGAAAUUGCUGAAGAGGGGAGUACCACGAGGAAGAAGGUGAAGGAGAAUACAGAAGGCUUUUUGAGCUGCUUCUGCCAAAGAAGAUAUGACAAAAGGGAUCAUCUGCAUCUUAAAUAGUUAUAUAAUAUGCCUGUGACAGAAACAAGACUGCAAAGGAGAAUCUGAAGCCACAUUCAGAAAUGACAGCAUGCAGAAGAUGCUGCAAAUCUUUCUGCCAGAUCACUCAUGAAGUACUUAAAACCACGUGUCUUCUUGGGAACAGAGGACCAGACUUCUGUGGAAUCUUUCUGAAACAUCAGAUUCUUCAAAGCACAAAUUAAAGCUCACCUGAAGAUACAAUAUAGUUUCAUUUUGGACUAGGCUUCAGAGACUGCAAGGGGAAUUGGUGACAAGAUGAUAGAUCAGUUUCACCAUAUUGGCUUGUUGAUCCAAUAAACAUAAAGUCAAUAUUGGCAUUUGUCAUUCAGCUUUGGACCCCUACAGACUCCUGCUGCUGAUUAG